ACACCCGGGGGGGUCCGCGCGGGGCGGGUGGGGCCCUGUGGGGCCGGGGUGGCGGGGGCCUCGCUUCGUGUCCGACUGGCUCUGCGGGGGCGGCACCUGCCGAGCCUCCCGGGGGUGUCGGGGCGACCCCCCCCCAGCACCUGCCGGGCGCUCCCACUAGGGGCUGUGGGGGCAGGACGGACCGCCCGCCACUGCCGGGCUUGCGGCAGGUGCUCCCGCCCCCUCCCGGCCGAAGCGCUUCGGCUGCCUCCGCCUCCGUCCGUCGACUUCCGCGCUGCCGCAUCCGGGCCCUGGCGGCGGCGGAGGGUCCGCCGGGGUGACGUCACUGGGGAGCCUCUGGCUGGUGGAGCCCCCGACUGCCCACGUGACGGGGGGUUGGCGCUGCACGCGAAGACCCGACCCGGCCCGGCCCCAUGCGGACGCCGGAACUGGCUGGAGCCGGGUUCAUGCGGCUCCUCGUGCAGCCCCCCCUCUGAGCCCCCUGCAGCUGCUCCAGCGCUGGGGGAGAUACAGUAGGAACAGACCUGCAAUGAUAGGCUCUAGGAGGUACACAAGUCCCAGCCAUCCUGUCCACGGUGUAGGCCUGAAAGGAAGGGCACCUGAUCUGGUUUCCUCAUAAAGAGACUAGAUAUGCAGGUUAGAAAUGAAGACAUAACCCACUUAGAAGCCAGGAAACGUUUUUAGUCCAUUUCUGAGUUGCAAAGGAUUCUUGAGCUGGAGCUGAUGUAGGUUUAUGGACAUAAUGGCAAAUGACACAGCUCUUAACCAAACCCUGUCAGUCUUACAGUGCUUGAGGAGAGGAGCUAUUUAAUGUUGCUAGAUAAAAGGGGUAGGGGAAAAUCUUACUUGUAUUUGAACUAUACCUCUGGGCUCCCUAGAAAUGUAGGGAUUUUCACUGGAACCAGUACAGGUUGGCUAAUUGCAGUGGCAAGCAAAUAUGCCACUAACACGGUGUGACCAUCUUGUAUGAGCUGCUUCUUUAUAUUUUUAUUAACUGAAGAGUAACCAUGGUGGUGUGGCUCUCCUGGACUCCUUGCCAAAACAGCUAAAGGAAGCUCCUCUGCCAUAUUUGGGUGUUUCAAAGCAGGAGAAUGAAUCCUUUGCUGCCUUCUGGUAGUCCCUGUAGGCAUAUAAUGUUGUCUGCAUGUGAACAGGGCUCCCUUGAAUCUAGAGUUUGGAUUUUAUCCUUUGCUAGAUCUAAGGCAAGGGGAAAACAAGUGCAUUUUCUAUCAGUGGUGAAUGCUAGAUGUCUGUGAUAGACACUGGAUUAAAUCAAGAGCUAAUAGACAAAAGUCCAGCUUUUGCAGGUUAAAAUAUAUGAAAAUAGCUCUUAGCUAGCCUGCUACACCAGCAGAAAUGGACCAACCUUAAUGCAUCACUUGUAGGUGGAGACGGCCUCUGAAUACUAGAAAAAUGUAAAACUGAAGUCUUCCCAGUGGACCUUUAGGGGAGAUGUGCAUUUUAUUUUUAACUCUUUCAGGUCUAAUGCCAAGUCAUGGUCACUGUUUAAGGUGAAUAGAACUAUUGGCCUCCUGAUGGAGAAAUAGUUUGUUGGCUCUAGUUUUGACACCCUUUUAGCAUUGGUGGUUUGGUUUGAGCUUGACACCAUUGAAACUGAGCAAAGAUGCCUAGUGAUUUUUUUUUUUCUUUUUUAGAGCUGAAAGCAACAUAAUGAGGUUGCAUAGUUCUAACUUCUGAAGAAAUCAGAGGUGCAGAUGAAGAUGGUGAACCUUUGGAAAUAGUAAUGUAGAAGUCUAUCAUCCUACACUAAUUCCAGAACUCUGGAGAACAGCCAAGUCAUGCUCCAUCAGAUGAGGUGAAGAAUUGAGCCCUUUAGACUGCUUAAAGGAACAGAAGCAGAAGAGAAGAUUCUACAAACUGAAUUGAUUGAAGGUGGUGGUUGCAUUUACUUGAGCAGGUGUUGACUAACCUUUCUGCUCCCCUCCAACUCAAAGAAAUGCCCUCAGUGUUUCAGUUGGUCCCCACUUUGGAAGAGUGGGUAUUACCAGAACUUGAGGAAGAACCAUGAAGCAAUGACUUGAGCUCAGCUUCUUCAAAUUGCAGUUUAUGAAGGAGAUGGGGAGGGAAAAAUGGAGGAUAUGUUCUUCCCUACUCAAACCAUGUCUAACCUGACUUGCUUAUAUUAAGCACUGUCUUCAUGAAGAACAAGGACCAAAAGUCCUUGGUUGUCUUGCAUUUCAUGGCUGUAAUGGCUUAAAUCUAAAGCAGUGACUCUCAACCUGGGUGAUGGAAAAAUAUUUUUAAGGGUGGUGCACAGCAUUAUCAUUCUGUCAACUGUGUAAUGCUAAACCCAGAAGUUUUUUAAAUGGGAACCAUUAGUGUCAAAAACAAAGACUGCAGCAGGUCAAAAUGUUUUGGGUGGCUUUUUUUUUUUUUGUUUGCAAUGAAAAAACUUAUCACUUCCGUACUAAAAAAAAGAAGUGAAAGCAAAGAAGUAGUUUUCCUGCAGGAGUCUAGUGAGGUUAAGAAUCAUUACUCGGAGUAAGAAUUGAAGAGUUCCUCUGUAAUUCUUGGUCUCAGUACAACAUUGAGACCAAUAAUGGAAGCUUAGCUCAGAAUUUUUUUCACUCUAAAGACGAGCAAUAUAAAUAUGCAAUUUGAAGUUGCUAUACAUCAAAAAAGGUUUGGGGACCUUAUUAGUUAUCACAUAAUCUGAGGAGGCUGGGUUGCAUUUACUUAAUCUUGUAAUAAGCAUACCAGUACAGAACAAACGGGUCUUUCUAUCUCAUUCUCUAGAGGCCUGGAUUCUGACUAGCUAUUUGGAAAUUGCUCAGGGCUGUGUGAGCACUAUAAUGUAUAGUAUUGUACAAUAUUUCAAUUGCUGCACAAACCAGUUGCUGCAAAAUAAGCCAGGCUCUGAUUCUUCCGCUUGCUAGUUAUUCAGUGGAAAUUUGUAUAUAUGCUAUAGUAAAUGCAGUGUAAGUUACCUUGCAUUUAUUGAGGAAUUGGCUACCACAUGGUUACUAGCAGAUGGUAGUUAAUGCAGUGUAGAGCUUCACCAUGCUCUUUGCUAGCUGAGUGUGGCUGCCACUUCUGUUACUGACAUUAGGGGUUUUGUCUUUUGGUUUGUUUUAUUUUUUUUUUUUUUAAACUUUAUUACCUUGGUCAUAGGUGACCUGUUAUUGAGUGUGCAGGUUUUAAUACCUCUUUGGUCUGCAAUGCUAUGUACCACAUCUAACUGGAGAUCUAACAUUGCAGUGUCUUCUGACAACACUUGUUUGAAUGUUUAAUUGAGUUAAAGCAAAGCAGACUUGGAGGCAAAGAGCUAAAAAUCAAUUUGGGUAGGCAGUGUCUUUAAGAUACUGCAUAAAGAAUUGUUCAGUGUCUGUUACAUUACCUCUGAGUUAGACUCCCUAACUUGAGUAAGCUGUAUGUACUAUCUGUUUCUUGGUCAGCUCAUAUUUCAGAGCCCUCUGUUUCUAGUAAACAUGUUUGAGAUA